GUUACUCCUGUAAUUUUGUUUAAGAAAGUUAUAUUAAAUCAUGUCUACACAUCACAACUAAAGAUUUCUAAUAUUUAAUAACUAUAGUGCUACAGUAUUAUGGUUAGGAAAGAUCGUUUCUUAUUUUCAUACAUUUAUGAACAGAAUCCCAUCUAUUCUAAAGGAUGUUCUCCAUUAAAAUUUUAAAUCCAAGAGCUAUGUGAAACAAACAGAAAUGUACUUCAAAACAGAGAUUAACAAUGUUCAGGUAUAAUUAUUAAUAUUCAAACUAAUUUUUGCAAUGGGCCUAUUCUAGGUGCAGAGAUAUUCAAGCCAACAAUUGCCAAAUAUAGCCAAAAAUUCUGGACUGACACUAUCUUAAAACACACAAACACACAAACCUACACCACUACUCGAAAAAGGGAGGAGGAAAUUUUAUACUUGUAGGGCAUUGGGUGAUAAACUUCUAUUUCAGAGUAUUUUUCUAUUUGUUAUUUAUUUGGUGACAACAGAAGAAUGUUGCUGUAAUGCAAGAAUGGUGCGGGAGGAUUCUUCCACCCAAGAGAAGAAAGGGAGAACUCAUUCUCCCUCUGAAGACACACCAAAAGUAGCAUUCUUCAUGUCAUCCCCUUUUGGGAGGGACCUUGAGGUUCCCACAUGAUACUAAGAAAAAAAUACUACAAAAUCUUUCGGGAACACACAGAAUGUUUCCAAUCUACAUUCCUCCAACAGUGGGGAAGGAGAAUAGUCUUGUGCUUAAGACACUGGACUGGGAAUCAGAAGACAAGGUUCAAUUUCCUGUUUUUCUAUAUCUCACUAAGCAGGACAAUCAGUCUCUCUGUGCCUCAGUUCUCCAUUGGGGUAUUUAUGGAUUUAUCCUUGCAGUAUGUGAGAGGUGUUCAGAUACUAUAGUGUUGGGGCCAUACAGACCAAAAAAAAAGUGUGGAAGCAAGUUAAUCAAAAAGAGCUCUAAAAAGAUAAAUUUUAAUUCUAGCUCUCAAGUUACAUCAAGACAGAACUAACACAAAAGGGCAGGCUGAUAUAAAAAAAUGUAGUGUAAUUCAUUAAGGAUAAAAAAGACUGGUCUCCAAGUUCAUCUAACAAAGGCAAAAGGAGAAACAGUCACUAAGAUAUUGCCAUUUUACACAUAGCAUCUUGGCACCUUGCCACAUUUAAUUCUUCUAGUUUAAAUAAAUACCAUCAAUUUAAUAAAAUGACCAUUUCUGUCUGAAGUUUUUUUCUUUUACUUAAUGUUACAAGUAACAUCUAACAAUUACUGUAAUAAAGAAAAACCAGUCUUCUGUAUUUUGUUUACUUUAUGCAUUUGAGAAGACUGAAAAGUCAGUUUCAGCAUUCUUCCUGUACAGUCUAUCAGUUUUCCUUUCGUUUGUAUGGGGCUUUCACAUAGUAAGAGAAAAAAUAAUUUAAAUUAAAAAAUUCAAUUGGAAAAACAUACAAACUGGCAGCAUCUGUGAGGAGCUGAUUUAUUGAAACUACGUGCAAUCAUUUUUUGAAAGACUAGUUUUCAAGUUGAUGGUGUCCCUUCAACAACCAGCUAUCCCUGUCACUUUUACAGGCCUUGAAAGGAUGAAAGCAAUAUAGAGAUGUACAAAAAUACGAUUAUUGAGGUUUGAAAUGAUUUAGUGUCUCAGUUAAGACACUUAAACACAAAGAAUUGCAUGUAGUAACCAUAGUAGGGAAAGAAUCAAGCAAUCUCACUUUUCU